UAAGGGGCUGCCUAGACAACUAAAUGG
rnacentral:piRNA from 1 species